UUGGGUGUCGGUGUUACAGUGAGGUGUCAGAUAUAGGGUUGGGUGUCGGUGUUACAGUGAGGUGUCAGAUAUAGGGUUGGGUGUCGGUGUUACAGUGAGGUGUCAGAUAUAGGGUUGGGUGUCGGUGUUACAGUGAGGUGUCAGAUAUAGGGUAGGGUGUCGUUGUUACAGUGAGGUGUCAGAUAUAGGGUAGGGUGUCAGAGUUACAGUGAGGUGUCAGAUAUAGGGUAGGGUGUAGGUGUUACAGUGAGGUGGCAGAUAUAGGGUUGGGUGUCGGUGUUACAGUGAGGUGUCAGAUAUAGGGUAGGGUGUCGGUGUUAAAGUGAGGUGUCAGAUAUAGGGUUGGGUGUUGGUGUUACAGUGAGGUGUCAGAUAUAGGGUAGGGUGUCAGUGUUAGGGUGGAGUGUCAGAUAUAGGGUAGGGUACCGGUGUUCCAGUGAGGUGUCAGAUACAGGGUAGGGUGUCAGUGUUAGGGUGGAGUGUCAGAUAUAGGGUAGGGUACCGGUGUCGGUGUUACAGUGAUGUGUCAGAUACAGGGUAGGGUGUCAGUGUUAAAGUGAGGUGUCAGAUAUAGGGUUGGGUGUCAGUGUUACAGUGAGAUAUCAGACAUAGGGUAGGGUGUCGGUGUUCCAGUGAGGUGUCAGAUGUAGGGUAGGAUGGAAGGGUGUUGGUUUUAGGUUAGGGUGAGAAUGUAAGGUUGGGGUGUCCAAUUUAGUUUGGGAUGCCCAUUUAGUUAAAUGUGGGUACAUUUUAAAAGUAUUUUCCUUAAUAAUGGCAGAAAGCAAAGGAUUUUAAUGUUAAUUUGGCAUUGUAUAUCCCUUGGCAAAGGGAUUUCAAUGUUGUAAGUUGCAUGACUACUCUUGGGGCAGAGGAAAUAGAGGAGUGGGGGAGCUACAUCUAAAAAGAAAUACUGUCAUGGAGCAUCCCUCGGUCAAGGAAAUGAUCGAGGUAUAAAUCAGUGGUGUAACUCAAUUAGGGGACAGAUGGGCCAGACCAAGUAUGGAAAGAGGGAGGUAAUUCUUUAAAUUACUACCCUUUAAACCUUUCACCCCUAUGUAACUUUAGUAGACUCCACCAUGCAUUGAUCUGGAUGAGUCCAUUAUGGUCUACAGUAGUAAAAGGGUUAAAAUCAAAAUUGAGGAAUGUUUAACCUACCUUAGCUUGGAACACACCUUGGACAAGGGAGUUUGCAUUCAGGGUGUCUGUUAACCCUUAUUUAGGGAUAUAUGACCUCCUGCAUUCUUGACCCUCAAAAUAUUAGAGACUUGCCUUGUAAAGAGGUCAGAAUGCCGGAUUUCUGCUUGACUUUACCCCAACUUCAAUGUCUGACAAAAACACUGACUUUUGUAUAAAACAAAGGCAGAGAGGCCAAAAAUAAGAAACUGUUUGUUUGACAGACAACUCAAAACAUAUACUGUCCCCCGGGAAACUUUCGCCCUUCACACAUGAAAUUGCCUUUCACCCUGUGUUGAUU